rnacentral:rRNA from 1 species
UACGGAGGAUGCAAGUGUUAUCCGGAAUCACUGGGCGUAAAGCGUCUGUAGGUGGUUUGCUAAGUCCGCUGUUAAAGCUUGAAGCUCAACUUCGAAAAUGCAGUGGAAACUAGUAGACUUGAGUGUGGUAGGGGUAGAGGGAAUUUCCAGUGAAGUGGUGAAAUGCGUAGAUAUUGGAAAGACCACCAAUGGCGAAGGCACUCUACUGGGCCACAACUGACACUGGAGAGACGAAAGCUAGGGGAGCAAAUGGG